GAACUGUGCUAACUAAGCACAUGGAGCCUUGAUUCAAAACUCACGUCAGAACAAAUUGUAGCAGUAGCCAGCGGUGGAGAGAGGGAUGUAAUGUGCUUCCGAACUACGCCGCUGGCGUACAGAUGAGCCCGGCUGGACACGGGAACCCCUGCAUGGAUUUAGCGUGAAUGUACAAGUGACUGAAGAAAAGGAAGCUGAAGUAAUGUGGCUAAGCAGACAGUUCUUCACCUAAAAAUAUGGUUGAAGCCUGUUCUUCAACACUGCCAGAAAAAAUGUAUGAUCUCUUGGGAUAGCAACGCUUACUCACAUAAAAGAAACUUAAAAGACGAGAAACACAGCACAAUGUCAUGCAUCAGCUUGCUAUGAUGACAUCCCAAAAUACAGAUUCCAUGGUGUCUAUGAAUAUCUGUAACAGAAUG
rnacentral:lncRNA from 1 species